AGAGUGGUUAAUGAUGUACACUUUUUUCCCCGUCUUAUCGACGAUGGUGAUUAAAAUCCAAACUUUAGCCAGUUGUGUCUGAAGCCACUCA